rnacentral:tRNA from 1 species
CUUAAAGUAAGUUAAAAAAACUAUUGAAUUUUUACUUCAAAAUUAAUUAUUUUCUUUAGGA